rnacentral:lncRNA from 1 species
UUCUGGCUGUCUCCAUUUCACAGUGACUGGAGGCCGAAGAAACACAUUAUCCAGAAUGCUUGCCAGCAGCUUUCUGGUUUAGAAUCUACCAGGCAGAGGCCAAAAGCUCUGAAAGGUCAAAGACAAGAAGAAACGGUUAUUCUCUGUCCAGGGAGUGAAUCCUUGUGGGUUUCAACAGAUUGUGACUCGUUUGUAACCAAAAACCGUGGGAAUUAUUCUCUUGCUGCUUUGGUGAUCAAAGAACAUGGAGGGAAGAUUUCCUGGAUGCCGGAACAAUACUAGGCUUCUCACCGCAGCCCAUGAAGCUAAGACAGGGUGAGCUCUGUGUUUGGCCCCCUCAGGUUCCAGCCCUUGGCUCGGUUAGUUUCUUUCUGUUUAAAAUAUCAAAUGUGCAGUUACUAUUCUCUUUUAGUAAAAAUUUUCUUUCCUUUUAAAAAUAAUAGGUUUGACUUCUCCUUUGAAAUUUUUUUAUGGGUGUAUGCUGCAUGUCUUGAUCAUGUAUUGAUGUGCACAGCGGUAUAGGAGUAUCAGGCAUGUGGGAGGUAACCAGCUGUUUUGUGCUUGGAUUUGCAGUUUUGACAACUCUUGCAGAACAGGAUUCAUGUCUCAUACUGCAAGAGUUGUCAAAACCCAUGGGUAUUGAGGACAUAAGCCCUUAGGUGAAUUUAAUGGCUGUUGUUUUGCUAAAUAAAUGUGUUUGUCAACGUUUCUUCUAACUAGAUGGUCAUUUCCAUAGACCGGAGCUGCUUUUAACCUUGAUCAGGGAAGCUUCUCAUGUAAUGAAUACUGGAAUAGUUUACUUCUUAAACUAUAAGUAAUACCACAAUAUAUACUGCAAACAAUUCAGAAAAUUUGAAAUUUGGCAACAGCACUACAUUUAGCUGUGUAUUUAAAUAAAAAUUGAUAGACCAGCUUUUGAAACAAAAAACUGGUAAACCUGAUUUUUUAAAUAAAAAUCGAUAGAUCUGUUCUUCACACUGUGAAACUCCUUUAUCUGGGCAUUACAGGAUGAGAAAUGAGAUAGCAGAUUCACGGGAUAUAUCAUCAGAAUCCUAUAUUCUAGGUUGGGGAGAUGGCUCCAGCAGUAAAGUGCUUGAUGUAUGAAUAUAAAGACCUGAUUUCAACCCCCAGAGAGCACUAAAAAAGGCCAGGCAUAUAGUGGCGUACUUUUAUAACCUUUGUUCCCAGGGACAUGGGAGGGGGUGAUCCCUGGGGCUCAACAGUUAGCCAGCUUAGCCUAAUGGGCGUUUCUCAAAGCACAAGGUGGACAGCCAUCGGGAAUGAAAUCUAACGUUGACCUCUAUCCUACAUACACACACACACACACACACACACACACAAAUGCAUACACACAUACACACACACAUUCACACACACACACACACGCACUUUGCAACAUAAUUGCAUGGAAUUAACAUUUUUAGAGCAUGUACACAGUGCUAGACUGUUCUGGAAAAUUCAAGUAUACUGUAAUUUAACUUACACCUCUCCUUGAAAAAAGUACUGUUAUAAAUAUAUGAGCACAAAGGCCUAUGGAGAGAAACGUGUAUAUCGCAUAAUUUGAAUGUGAUGAAAACACAUUGGUAUUCAGGCAUUUUGGUUUUAAUUAUGGAAGACAGGUACCAUGUCCACUCAACCAGUACAGCUGGGAUCGAGCUGAGCUGGAGUGCGUGUUAAAGGAGAAUCUUUCAGAAAGGUAUUUUGAUUCCUGACCCCCUGCACUGCCCCACCCUGUUUCCCUGAAAGAUUUAACUCCUGUUCACUUCUGUUCUUUGAAAUAAACUAAAGGUCGGCCGAAAGAGAUGCAAUCAAUAAAAAAAGUGGUUAGACCACAGCUCUUUAACUCAAUGUAAAACCUACUCAACAAGAAGAAAAUAACACUUGGGAGAAAGGGGAGAAGGCUUGUAACCGCCCGAGGAACAAGGAUUUUGCCAGGACAUCCUGUCUCCUAGUAAUGUUAGAAGCUUCACCUAUGAAGUCUCACAAAAACUGCCUGAACUUGGGCUGAGCAAAGAUCACACCAGUCACUAAUAGAAAUGCUAAUGCCAGAGGGAGAAAUCACAGGAAGUAUCAGCCCUACACAAGAACUACAGGCAGCUAAGCAAUGCUGAGAACAGGAGAGAUAGUCUUCCCCCAAGAAGAGCACACUGAUUGGUUAUCCAAUACCAAAUGGUCAGCCCCUAAAACAUUAUUUAGCUAAAGGUUAUAUUUAGGUGUGUGUGUGUGUGUGUGUAAAACAUGGAAAAAGGCAAUGAACAUGAAAGUGAGUGGAAGCGGGUUAAAUGGGAUGGUUUUAGGCAGAGGAAACGUAUGGGGGAAAUGAUGUAAUUAUAAGCUCAAAAAAUAAAAAGAAUUAAAUGGGUAAAGUGGAUUGUAUAGGUAUGUAUAAGUUUACGUGGGUUGGGAUGUGAAAGCACCAAUUUCCCUUGGACCUUCACAAACACAUUACUCUCCUCCUCUAAGGCACUGGCAUUGGCUACGUUGACAGCUAAGAUCGAUGGAGCAUGUAUUGGCUAGUCAUCGCAUUAUGCAUUUCAUGUAUGUAUUUUGUAUGACUCAUUUGCACUUAACUGUUGCUCACAUUUUACUGACUGACAGUUUGAGGCUUAGGCAAUUUAUUUACCCAUUCAAAGGGACACAAAAUGAUAUUAAACAGCAUUCCUGCCCAGUCACCCGAAACAGGGUACCUACUUGCAAGUUCUGAGUUCUCAGGAAUCUUAUAACACGAAGGGAUUGCACUCUGCUCCUUAGACAAAGGUCUAAUCGCUUCAAUGCAUUGAAAAAAUUUCAAAUGUAAGGUUCUCUCUCUUCUCCUCUCUAUAAAUACCUUUGUGAAAAUAAACUCAUACCCAGGACCUAAAUUAAACUAAAGUGGCAAAGAAAACGAGGACAGUACCCUAAAAUAACAUAUACUUUCAGCUUUGUUGAUGGUAGUUUUCUGGGAAUCUGCUGGUUCUCAAAAACUCUAGAUUUAUUUCCUCCAGAACGAAACCCUUAUUCUCUUCAUUUAGGAGACAAUGAAGUCAACCCAGAGAAUAAAAAUACUCUAUACUUUUAAGGCAGAAUUUUACAUCUGUCUUGGCUUUGGAAGCAACCUGAAGGCAUUUAUUUGUCUCCUCAUUAGUGUCUUCCUCAAGUGAUAUGAACGCUUAUUUGACAGUGUUGUGGGGUGAGGCAGAAGGCUUUUCAACUUCACAACCUUGAGAGGGAAAUAUGAAGGAAUGUCAGCAGAUGAACGUGUUGCAGAUUGCCUUGCAUUUCACUCUGACCUUCAUUACACACACUAACUGGACGGCUGCCCUGCACCCACGGCUACCAGUCUCAGUAUGGUUGGGUUUCCAUAAUUGCUAUCUCUUAAAAACCACUGUUUCCCUCUAAGGCAGUCUUCCUCCAAGCGUCUCAUUAACCUUCUCCACUUUCUAUCACAAUUUGUGGCACUUAGCACAGUCACUGGACAUUUACAAAACUAUUCAUUUUAUGGUAACCAUCUUCUUUGGCCUGGGAGUUGUGUUAUGUUAUAGAGCAGGGAAUUUGGCUUAUUCAUAAUUCCUGCAAAUUAACAAUGGGAGAGUAUAGCCAUAAAGAAGAUAGCAAAGCAGCACUUUUUAUUUUUCAGGAGCGAUAUUGGAGACUGACAUCUUUCUGUUUCAGUAUCUUGAUGGAUCAGAAGACUAAAAGUCAUCAGGGUUAAAGCAGGAGUUAAGAUUGACAUAACUUUGAGAAACUAGGAAUCUGCAGUGGUUUAGUAUACCGGUGCCCUGAAGUUCUGAACAAAUCUUUCUCAAGGGUGAAGUUACGUGGAUGAAUGGUAACAAAUCCAUACAGGGAAGCAAGUGAUUAAGGCCAGUGUUUGAGGUAAUGUAUUGGAUUGUGAAUCUCUGGGAUAUGUGCUUAUAGUGAUAUCACUUUUAAAGUUUUAUUAUUUUCCACGUUGCUCAAUAUGCUUGGCAUCUGCUUUCAUUUAUAUUCAUUCCUUCACAUUUGCAGACACAUUUGUUAAAGUUCUGAAAUUCCUCAUAUGAGUUUCUGCUUUAGUCAGAAUUUCAACUCUGUAACAACAACAAAGUCUAUAUUUCUUAAGGC